CCUCACCUUUCGAGCAUAUGUCCUCAAAAGGGAGCAAUGGUCUCGUAAGUUGUAAAUGACGAACCACCGACUCUUGAAAGUGGGUCAGUUGGUGGUAGCAGAAGCGCUCAAUCAUAGUGGGUUCACGGUCUUGCAGGAGUUCCUGCAGAGGUAUAAGAGCACCUCCUCUGCAGAGCCCAGAGAGAUGUAUAUGUUGGCCCCUCACUAGAAGCUCCAGUGUCCAUAUUUCUUGUCCAGGCGGGAACGUUGGGUUGCCUGUGGCAGGAUACAUUGGGCCGUUUAGUGUUGUGAGGGAGAACUGAAAACGGG